GCAACCUGACCCUCCGUUGGUCCCGUCAGUACCAGCACGUAAGUUACUCCAAGGAGAGGUAUCAACACGAGUAACGCCUUACUCGCCUUUCGAUAUUGCUGGGUUUCUGCGUUCGUCGCUGACCAGAGCUUUGUUAUCAGCACCUGUAACGAAGAAUCGUUGUAACGGUGGUUAGACAGAGGAAAGUUUAGAUGGAGAAUAAAGUAAAAUAAAAUAAAAUAAAAUAAGUAACAGGGCUUUGUUGCUGACGAUCGUGUUGUUGAUGUUACCUUAGAUGUUGAAAAAAAAGGAGAAAAAUCGGCCGUUCAAGUAUAUGUACUCACCCACAUUAUCAUGAAAAGAAACACCACGUUGAUGCAUAACACCAAAAUAGCGGGGGCUUGGUAGAACCAGUCGUAAGCAUGUGACACCAUCCAGGGACAAUGCUUGCCCAAUGCAACUUCCUGUGAACAUUGUUGGCUACAGUGCUACUGGAAACUAAGCCAAUUCUCGGUUAACUUUAUUAGCAAACAUCGCGUCAUUCAGUUUCUUUCCCUCGUGGUACGCGAAGAGCACGUCUCCAUGAUGUUUCAGCUCGUUGACUUUAGCUAUUUACUACGCAAGAUGUCGGGAAAGUUUUACUGUACAGCGAGAGAAGCAGAUACAGAUGCACGAGUUUUUUCCCCAGGAAUUAAACGCGCAAUUUUAAACUGCUGAGGAGCGAAUAACGACUCGGAUCAUUGGACAUUGCGUAACACUUAAUUCUAGACAUGUUGGGUUGUUGGAAACUUCUCUUGGAACACGUAAAAUAACCAAAAAAAAAAAAAGAAGAAAGGUCUAUGUAAUAUUUUAUCUUCGAUUGAAGAAUUAAAACUGGACCGUGGGAACACGGUUUCAACAAA